rnacentral:lncRNA from 1 species
UUUUUUUUUUUUUUUUGCAUGAGCAAAUUACAUCUGGCCUCUUUCCCUCUUUCCUGCCUGGGGAAUAGGCAGUGAUCAUCUGGGAUGGAGACUUGGCUUGUUCUCAGCACAGUCAAGCAGUGUAGUUUUGUGGUGAGCCCACUGGCCUGGGAAUUCUAAUAACCCUGGCUUCAUGGGUAAUUUGGGGUAAGUUAUUCAUUCUGUUCUUCAUUUGGCUCCUCUGCAAAAUGGGGCAAAUAAUAAUACGGCAUGAUUUUGAAGCCAUAACAAGAUGAUGGAAAUGAAAGUGGUCACCUUCAUCUAAACAUGAACUUGGGUACUGCAAAAGUGCAGAAUGAAAUGUUAUCAUUCUUCAGGGGAGUCACAUUUCAUGAAGACCUCUGUGUUUUAAUCACUAACUUAAAAAUAAAAGUAAAAGAAGGAAAGAAAAAAAAUUAAUGACAGCAGCCUGAGAUGCAUGGGCUACAUUCUCUGCUGCUUAAAAAACAACAACAAAAAAAAGCAUGACACUGUUUUGAAAAGUUAAUCACAGAGGGCUUUGAAGGGUUUCAUCUAGCACCAGUUGCAGGUAAUAUUGGAAAAAUACUGCAGUCAUAGCAUCUCCGUGCAUUAUUGGGGUUUUAAAUCCUAAAUCACUACAUACAAUGCAUAUUCUGGUUUAGGCUACCCAACUGGAUAUGCUGGCCUGGUUUCCUUACUCUAGUGCUCUCUGCUAAUAACUAAACAUGUAAAAAAAGAAAGAAAAAAAGAAGAAAAAAAAAGCAGGGCUUUUUUCAAAGUUGCAAGUCAAUGUGCUGUAAACAUGGGUCUGAGGUUAGGAUAUUGAAUUGCAUGAAUAACAACAAUCUGUCUUACUCCAUUAAUCAGAGGUUUACAGUCUCUACAGUCUUAUGAGCCAUGGGGCCGUCACUGAUAAUUCUCUGUCAAAGAGAAAUGGAAUCAUCUAGACAUGUGCUUAAAGAGGAAUUUUUCCCCUUGUUGAUUUUAUGUAGGAAACGGCUAUUAGACAAUGUUGGCUCCCAUGGAGGUUCGGAGACUGUGGGAAGAGGCCUCAUGGUGGGGAUAGUGGAGAUGCAAAAGACACGUGGAGACUUUUGGCAGACAGGGCUCUGCAAAAAGAGGUCCAGCAAUUUGUUGGGCAAGGUCUCUGCGUGGUCUCCUCUGGGACCUAUUCCAGAGCAGUGAAACUAAUAAUCCUUAAAUUCACUCCCUCUCCCCCAGGCACCAUUACACCGUAUUUGAAUUAUGUUAUCAAAGAGACAGACGUGGAUUCAGUUCUGAUCCCCCAAACUCUUAAGGAAAUGUGCCCCUUCCUUAAUGGGAAAGUGUAUUUGAUGACCUAAAAGUUGACGUGCCUUAAAUCUGGCUGCCCUGCUCCCCAGUCCUGGGCUGCACCCUCAUUCUGUGGAGUUCUGAGAAAUGCUGAAGAUGAGGCAGGUGGCAAAUGUGGCUCCCUGAGAGCUAAACCUGAUACCCGACCAGGAGCUUGGGUCAGUGUUUGUCAGCAAAAUUAGCCUUUUCUUGCAGUGUUAUAUAAAUUUUCCAUAGAAAUCUGGCAUGUGUCAAGAAAGAUGCCUGUUUUCCUGAGUUAGGUGUAAUCACCACGUGCCCCACUUAAAUUUACGUGCAAGGGUGCAGGCACCAGAGAAAACUACCAGCUAUCGCCAAGCCAAGAGCCAUCAAUUCAGGAUGAAAAGUGUGAAGAGUUGGGAUGGAGUUGCCUUCCCACUUGGGGAAGGCAAACAUUAACACCUCUGAUUUGGAUCCUUAAGAUGACAGAACCACCAGUAAAACCCAUUUCCAGUAUCUAGAACAGGUGUGGUUUCGUCCCUGGAGGACAGCCUUGGCUGAUGCUGACAGAAGGGGC